CCACCGCACCUCACCUACACCCCCCCCACCACCGCGAUUUUUUUUUCUUUUAAGUAUUUUUAUUACUUUUUUAAAUCUACAUUUAUUUUUUUAUCAGUUUUUUUUAGAUCAAUAUUUUUCUAUCGAUAUGUUUUGUUUUUAAAUUUGUUUUCAUUAAUUAAUUUUUAAUAAAAAAUAAAUAAAAAUAAAAAAUAAAAAAAGAGAAUACAAAUUUAGUUCACAAAUAAAUCUGAUGCAUUAUAUUUAAAAAAUUGUUAAGUGGGCUAAAGAAAUGGAUUAUACAUUAAUUGUUACACUAUGUUUUUCUUUUAUUAACUUUUUUUACUUUUUUACAUUAUUACUUUACACUUUUUGGUUACAAAAAUUUUUAGUUGUAUGUAUAAAUUAUAAAAAUGUCUUAAAACUCAUUAAUUAAAUGCCAAGGUGGGCCCUACUUUUUGAAAAAAAUUUAACCACACAGUGUUGAGUUUCUGAGUUGUUCUUAUUUUUUUAUCGUUCAUCAACAAAAUUGAUAAUUAUGAAAAAACCUCAGGAAUGUGAAUGAGUUAAUCCCAAUUAUAAAUAACUUGUUAUGGCUUAUAAGCUAUAACUUUUACUUUUUUAAAUUAUAGAAAAUCCGAUCAUCCCGACCAACCCGAUCGCAAACCGCUAACCUGUAACGGGCGGUUUUGUCAACAGAUUCGGUCGGAUUCAAUUAUUGCGAUUUUCAACCCCAAUGUGAUAUGGUGAGUGACGGAUUGCGGUCAAACCCGAUCUGCCCGAUCCGUGAACAGCCCUAAUAAGAAACCAAUUUUGAAUUGUCAAAAACUAAUUAAAAGGAAAAGGAAAAAAAUUACAAUGACCUCCUUCGGGAUUUACUUUAACACAAAUGUCUUAUUAACACUUGAUAAAUUACACUAACCUCCCUUAAGGUUUGAAGUUUCAUUUCAAAAAUACUCCCCCUGUUUGUCAAGGAAAUAGAUGACAUUAAAAAAUAUCAACUCUAAAAAUCCCAAAUUGCCCUUAACAAUACGUAGGUUUAAAAAGCUCAAGAGAGAGGGGGACCGGCCACCAACAAUAUCUCCGCAAUACUUGCUGUCGCCGCUGCUACUCGGCCUAGGGGAGAGAGAGAGAUGCAGAGACACACCACCACAUCCGUCACUGCAAUAGCUCACCGCCGUGCUGCUUGCCGUCCCCUUGCCGCUUAAGACCGGAGAGAGAGAGAAGAGAGACCCACCAUGAUCACUGCAACUCGCUUGCUGCCAGUCGCCGCUCACCGCUCGUCAUUUGCCUUCUCCGUUCGAAGAUUAUAUGUAUAGAUCUGUAUGUAUGUAUGUAUUUAUAUAUUUAUGCGUGUGUGUAUAUAUAUCUUAGUUCAGAUCUUGGUUGUGUCAAAUUGAUUUUGAUUUAUACAUGUCUUACUCUGUUUUGGGAAAUCGAGAUUCAAGCCAAAAUUACAGUCUUUGAUUUAGGUAAUUUGGGAAAAUCAAUAAUUUGAUGGGUGGGCCUUCAAGAUUGGUAUUUGAAUGGGGUUUUUAGAAUGAGAAAUUUAUCUCUCUCUCUAAUUUGUUAUUGCUGGAUCUUGAUGGGUCUUCUAGAUUGAAAUUAAAUGGGUUUUUCAGAUUGAGCAAAUAUGUUUUUAGAUUAGCAACUUCUCUCUCUCCUCUUUAAUUUGUUAGUAUUGAAUGUUUUUUCAUGUAUUGUCAGUUUGAUCAAUGUCUCUCUCUAAUGUGUCAAUACUGUCCAUCAACUAGAUUGGUAUUUGACAGGGUUUUUUUUUCGAUUGAGCAAUUAAUACCUUCGCUACAUACCCAUGUAAUACGUAUAGAUCAAAGUAAAAUAGAGUUGGGGUGAUAGUGAGAGAGCUAGGGAGGUUGUGGUUGAGUGACACGGAGGAGGAAGAAGAGUGGGGUGGUUAACCGUUACACCCUUUUGGUAUGGGAGAUGACCCUCAUUUGGGUGUCUCCUUAUUUGGGUGUUUCCCUGACUUGCUAUCUCUCUUCCCGCUUCUCCUGCGAUUUGACAAGAUUGUUUUUUCUCCCCUGGUUUUCUUUGCCGACACCCGAGUUAUUCGCCAAGUGUCUUCCAAAUUUCCAACCGCCAGACGGAUAUGUGACGGACAGGGUCCCCCGUCGCGUGGUCACGUGCGCCCUCAGGGGUGACAGAUCAUUGUGCCCUCUGCUGGGGGAAGAAGAACAAUCGUUUUGUGGUAAAAGAACCCCUCACAGAACGUCUCUAAUCUAGGCUUAACAUCAAAUUGGGAAGACGGGAAUAAUUUUAUUUGGAUAAAUUACACUGAUCUCUCCCCUGAAGGUUAUGGGUUAUCACAAAAAAAAUCGUUGACGUUUAAGAAAUUAUAAUUACCUCCCCUGAAGUUUGAAACUUGUAAAAGUUCCCUCAAUUUAAAACCCAAACAAAAAUAUUUUUUAAUUAUCUAUUAAUCAUCUAAAUUUUUUUUUACUUGAUGUAUGUAUUUAUUUAUUUUUUAUUUAUUUAUCCAUCAAAGUGAAAUAUUUUCUAA
rnacentral:lncRNA from 1 species